rnacentral:rRNA from 1 species
CUAUAUUGUAAAUAAAAAAAUAACUUUGUGUGUCACGGAAUAUAUAAUUUAUUUAUUAUUAAAUUUUCCGAAUAAUAGUGGUUAUAUUGGUUUUUUGAAAUUAAGUUCAAUAUCUCUAUAGUAAAUUUAGAUUUAAAUAAAAUUUCAAUAGAAGUGAUAAUUUUCGACAUUUUAAUUCUGAUUUUUUUUAUUAAUUAAGUUAAGCUAAAUUAAAAAAAACAUUUUAUAUUUUUAAAUAUAUAUUUAUUACUUAUAGUAUAUUUUGAUAUAUAAAAAAUUAAAUAAAUAAAAUAAGAUAUUUGAUUUUAAUUUAUUUUUUUUAAAUAAAAAUUAUAUUAUUAGUAUUAAAUAUAAAACAGAUUACUCAAAACUAAAAUCAACUGUUUCUUAAAAACAUUUCUUUAUUAUAUAUAAAGUAAUCUCUGCUAAUUGUUAUAAAAUAAAAAGCUGCAGUAAUGUGUACUUAGGUAGCAUAAUCAAUUGUCUAUUAAAUGUAGAGCUGUCUGAAUGAGUAAUAAGUAUUUAAAUUAAUUUCUUUUUUGUUUUUUGAAAUUAUAUAUUUGGUUAAGAUUCCAAUUUUUAUGUUUUAAGACGAAAAGACCCUAUAAAACUUUUCUUUAUCAAGUUGAAAUGGGGAAUUUGAAGAAUAAAUUUUUUUUAAUUAUAUUAUAUAAAGUUUCUUUAGGGAUAACAGGACAAUAAAAUUUUUUUAGUAUGUAUUUAUAAUUUUGUUUGUUACCUCGAUGUUGGCUUAUUUGAAGUAUUAGGCAAAAGGGCUUUAUAACUCAAUCUGUUCGAUUGUUAAAUAAAUACAUGAGCUGAGUUUAAACCGGUGUAAAUUAGGUUGGUUUUUAUCUAAAAGAAGAAUUCUUGGUACGAAAGGAUAAGUUAGUCUUUUAA